ACGCUCGACACCUACGGGAGCAGCAGUUGGGAAUAUUGGACAAUGGAGGAAACUCUGAUCCAGUGACGCCGCGUGAAGGAAGAAGGUCUUCGGAUUGUAAACUUAUUUUGUCAGGGAAGAAAAAUGACUGUACCUGAAGAAAAAGCACCGGCUAACUACGUGUCAGCAGCCGCGGUAAUCUGAGCGGGCUGGCAAGGC
rnacentral:rRNA from 1 species